UGGGGAAUUGUUCACAAUGGGCGCAAGCCUGAUGACGCAACGCCGCGUGGAGGAUGAAGGUCUUCGGAUCGUAAACUCCUGUUGCUCGGGACGAAAAGCUACGACCUAAUACGUCGGAGUCUGACGGUACCGAGUGAGGAAGCCCCGGCUAACUCUGUGCCAGCAGCCGCGGUAAUACAGAGGGGGCAAGCGUUGUUCGGAAUUACUGGGCGUAAAGGGCGCGUAGGCGGCCUGUUAAGUCGAACGUGAAAUCCCCGGGCUCAACCCGGGAACUGCGUCCGAAACUGGCAGGCUCGAAUUCGGGAGAGGGAUGCGGAAUUCCAGGUGUAGCGGUGAAAUGCGUAGAUAUCUGGAGGAACAUCGGUGGCGAAGGCGGCAUCCUGGACCGAUAUUGACGCUGAGGCGCGAAAGCCAGGGGAGCAAACGG
rnacentral:rRNA from 1 species